rnacentral:tRNA from 1 species
GCAGUCGUGGCCGAGUGUUUAAGGCAAUGGACUCGAAAUCCAUUGGGAUCUUCCCGGGCGUAGGUUCGAAUCCUACCGACUGCG